AUUGAACGCUGGCGGCAGGCCUAACACAUGCAAGUCGAGCGGAUGAAGGGAGCUUGCUCCUGGACUCAGCGUCGGACGGGUGAGUAAUGCCUAGGAAUCUGCCUGGUAGUGGGGGAUAACGUCCGGAAACGGGCGCUAAUACCGCAUACGUCCUGAGGGAGAAAGUGGGGGAUCUUCGGACCUCACGCUCUCAGAUGAGCCUAGGUCGGAUUAGCUAGCUGGUGGGGUAAAGGCCUACCUAGGCGACGAUCCGUAACUGGUCUGAGAGGAUGAUCAGUCACACUGGAAGUGAGACACGGUCCAGACUCCUACGGGAGGCAGCAGUGGGGAAUAUUGGGCAAUGGGCGAAAGCCUGAUCCAGCGGUGGCACGUGUGUGAAGGAGGUCUUCGGAUUGUAAAGCACGUUAAGUUGGGAGAAAGGGCAGUAGGUUAAUACCUUGCUGUAUUGACGGUACCAGCAGAAUAAGCACCGGCUAACUACGUG
rnacentral:rRNA from 1 species